GUGUGAGGUCCAUCAGGGUGGUGUGAGGUCCAUCAGGGUGAUGUGAGGUCCGUCAGGGUGGUGUGAGGUCCAUCAGGGUGAUGUGAGGUCCGUCAGCGUGGUUUGAGGUCCAUCAGGGUGAUGUGCGGUCCAUCAGGUUGGUGUGAGGUCCAUCAGGGUAGUGUGAGGUCCAUCAGGGUAGUGUGAGGCCCAUCAGGGUGGUGUGAGGUCCGUCAGGGUGAUGCAAGGUCCAUCAGGGUUGUAUGAGGUCUGUUGAGUUAGUGUGAGUUCCAUCAGGGUG